AUUGAAUUGGCAGAGUCCAGUGUAUUAAAUUUAGAAUUUAAAAAUAUAAUAAUUAUUAUAUUCAAUA
rnacentral:tRNA from 1 species